GCGGAUAACAGUCCGCUGGAAUGUAACCCUAAUCAAAAAGGGUUGAACCAUAAA
rnacentral:ncRNA from 1 species